UACGUAGGGGGCAAGCGUUGUCCGGAUUUAUUGGGCGUAAAGCGCACGCAGGCGGUCUUUUACGUUUUGAGUGACAGGUGUCAGCUUAACUGAUACAGGCCUUUGAAAUACGGGAAGACUUGAGGGCUUCAGAGGGACGCGGAAUUCCAGGUGGAGCGGUGAAAUGCGUAGAGAUCUGGAAGAACACCAAAGGCGAAGGCAGCGUCCUGGGAAGCAUCUGACGCUCAUGUGCGAAAAGCUAGGGGAGCGAACGGGG
rnacentral:rRNA from 1 species